UAUGUCUAUGCUAUAUUAGAGCAUUAUUUUAAAAUGCCGUAUAAUCAUAAUGCUGUUUGAUUAAUUAUUUAUUUAUAUUUAUGGCAUUUUAGCAGACGCACUUAUCCAGAGCGAAUUACAUUUCAUCUCAUUUUAUACAACUAAGCCAUUGAGGGUUAUGAUAAGGGCCUUGCUCAAGGGUCCAGCAGUGGCAGCUUGGUGGACCUGGGAUUUGAACUCACAGAUUUCUGAUCACUAGUAUGUUUUAUAGUGUAUCACCUGCUACUGCAGCUCCACCAUUACAACUUUGUGGAUGUGUUUUAUGAGCUGUGUCUUCCGAUUCUUCAUCAGCGGCUCAGAGCCUGAGACAGGAGGAUUUUUGGAGAGACUGAUGGCACUCAUCAGCAUGUGGGACGCAGACAUGUGGGAGCCUGCAGCGGCGCUUUAUUUCACAGAGCUCAUCGGUCACUGAAGCCUUCAUGGAAAACACAAGGUGGAGCUGCGAGUGCAGGAUACACAAACCCUCACAAUCUGGGACAAUUUUAGUUUAGUCAGUCCACACUACAGGCCAUGUUUUUAAUAACUAAAUGGCCAAAAAGAACAUACAUAAGACUGUAUCUGUAGCUAUGGUUCAAACCACAGAUCCAGGAGCUGUGAGACACAAACACUACCUGUAUAUAUACGUCAAAUUUAAGUCUCAGAGCAGGUGUACCUUC